GACGAACGCUGGCGGCGUGCUUAACACAUGCAAGUCGAACGGAAAGGCCCUGCUUUUGUGGGGUGCUCGAGUGGCGAACGGGUGAAUAACACGUGAGUAACCUGCCCUUGACUUUGGGAUAACUUCAGGAAACUGGGGCUAAUACCGGAUAGGAGCUCCUGCUGCAUGGUGGGGGUUGGAAAGUUUCGGCGGUUGGGGAUGGACUCGCGGCUUAUCAGCUUGUUGGUGGGGUAGUGGCUUACCAAGGCUUUGACGGGUAGCCGGCCUGAGAGGGUGACCGGCCACAAUGGGACUGAGAUACGGCCCAGACUCCUACGGGAGGCAGCAGUGGGGAAUAUUGCACAAUGGGCGGAAGCCUUAUGCAGCAACGCCGCGUGCGGGAUGACGGCCUUCGGGUUGUAAACCGCUUUCGCCUGUGACGAAGCGUGAGUGACGGUAAUGGGUAAAGAAGCACCGGCUAACUACGUG
rnacentral:rRNA from 1 species